rnacentral:lncRNA from 1 species
CAGAGAGGGACGUUGGGACUUUUGUAAAUACUCAGGAGGCAGAUGGCCUGAGUCCAACACUCACUGAUGCCUAUGCAAUCUUGGGUAAGAUACUUAAACUUCCAGUGCCUUAUUUUCUUCAUCAGCAAAGUGUGGAUAAAAAUUAUAACUACCCGAUAGUACUGAUGAGAUUGCAGCACUUCCUGACACAUACUGAGUGCUUUAUUGUUAUUAGGUUGUGUGAUAUAAUAAUAGCUAAGUGGCUAGAGAUUAAACCAUUUCUAGCCUUUGGUCUCCGGUUUGCUUUUUAUUUGUUUUUAUGGCUUCUGUUUCCUCUUGUUACUCUCAUCAGGCUAUUUGCUACUACCUAUGCUUAUUAUUCAUUCAUUCAUUCACUUGUUCACUCAUCAGCGGCACACCUGCCACGGGCCAAGCUCUCUGCUAGGCCCUGGGAAACAGUAGGGAAUGAGGCUGACUAUGCACAGGACGAAGUGGCUUAUUUCCUAAUUCAAUAGUCUGUUAAUGAGCAUCAGGAAUGUCAAGAAUCCUCCUUCUUCUACUGAAGAUGGUUAGCAGCCUGUAACAAUUAUUAUGACACAUUUUUCAUUUAUAUUUUAGCUUCUGAAAAUCAUGAGGAAUUAUUUUUUAAAGCAGUCUUUGAUUUUGAUUACUGAGAAUACAAUAUGUUUUGAGAACCUCAUUAUUUCCUCUGAUACUUUCUUCUUUUCUUCAUAUUUCUUAUAUUCUUUAUGUUUAAAUUGAAGGUGAUUUAUUAUGCAAGCUAUUGGAUAUGAUUUUGGAGUUUUUUGUACCAUUAAUUAUUGAGGGA